GUUACUCUCCACCGUCGCCGCCAUGUACAAUUCUCAAACUCUGACUUCUUGGAGGCAAUUCUUCCAAUUUGUUCCAACAUCACAAAACAAAACACAAACUGUUCCAAUUUGUUUUCU
rnacentral:sRNA from 1 species